UACGUAGGGAGCAAGCGUUGUCCGGAAUCAUUGGGCGUAAAGAGCGUGUAGGCGGCCACUUAAGUCCUGCGUGAAAUCUUGCGGCUCAACCGCAAGCGGUCGUGGGAAACUGGGUGGCUAGAGUGCGGGAGAGGAGAGUGGAAUUCCUGGUGUAGCGGUGGAAUGCGCAGAUAUCAGGAAGAACACCCGUGGCGAAGGCGGCUCUCUGGAACGCAACUGACGCUGAGACGCGAAAGCGUGGGGAGCAAACAGG
rnacentral:rRNA from 1 species